AUUGAACGCUGGCGGCAGGCCUAACACAUGCAAGUCGAGCGGAUGACGGGAGCUUGCUCCCUGAUUCAGCGGCGGACGGGUGAGUAAUGCCUAGGAAUCUACCUGGUAGUGGGGGACAACGUUUCGAAAGGAACGCUAAUACCGCAUACGUCCUACGGGAGAAAGCAGGGGACCUUCGGGCCUUGCGCUAUCAGAUGAGCCUAGGUCGGAUUAGCUUGUUGGUGAGGUAAUGGCUCACCAAGGCGACGAUCCGUAACUGGUCUGAGAGGAUGAUCAGUCACACUGGAACUGAGACACGGUCCAGACUCCUACGGGAGGCAGCAGUGGGGAAUAUUGGACAAUGGGCGAAAGCCUGAUCCAGCCAUGCCGCGUGUGUGAAGAAGGUCUACGGAUUGUAAAGCACUUUAAGUUGGGAGGAAGGGUUGUAGAUUAAUACUCUGCAAUUUUGACGUUACCGACAGAAUAAGCACCGGCUAACUCUGUGCCAGCCGCCGCCGUAA
rnacentral:rRNA from 1 species